GAUGAACGCUAGCUACAGGCUUAACACAUGCGAGUCGAGGGGUAACGAGAGGAAAGCUUGCUUUCCUUGUCGACGACCGGCGCACGGGUGAGUAACGCGUAUCCAACCUGCCCCCAACUAGGGAAUAACCUUGCGAAAGUAAGACUAAUACCCUAUAAUUUCCUCAGAUGACAUCUGACGAGGAAUAAAGAUUUAUCGGUUGUGGAUGGGGAUGCGUCUGAUUAGCUUGUUGGCGGGGUAACGGCCCACCAAGGCAACGAUCAGUAGGGGUUCUGAGAGGAAGGUCCCCCACAUUGGAACUGAGACACGGUCCAAACUCCUACGGGAUGCAGCAGUGAGUAAUAUUGGUCAAUGGGCGGAAGCCUGAACCAGCCAAGUAGCGUGCAGGAUGACGGCCCUAUGGGUUGUAAACUGCUUUUAUACAGGAAUAAAGUUAGCCACGUGUGGUUAUUUGUAGGUACUGUAUGAAUAAGGACCGGCUAAUUCCGUGCCAGCCGCCGCCGUAA
rnacentral:rRNA from 1 species